rnacentral:rRNA from 1 species
UACGUAGGGUGCGAGCGUUAAUCGGAAUUACUGGGCGUAAAGCGUGCGCAGGCGGUUUUGUAAGCCAGAUGUGAAAUCCCCCGGGCUUAACCUGGGAAUGGCAUUUGGGACUGCAAGGCUUGAGUGCGGCAGAGGAGACUGGAAUUCCUGGUGUAGCAGUGAAAUGCGUAGAUAUCAGGAGGAAUACCGAUGGCGAAGGCGGGUCUCUGGGCAUUAACUGACGCUGAGGAGCGAAAGCAUGGGGAGCGAACAGG